GCCGAACGCUGGCGGCGUGCUUAACACAUGCAAGUCGAACGCAGUGGCGACCGGGUGUGUAACGCGUAAUCAACCUGCCCUUCAGAGGGGGACAACCGUUGGACACGACUGCUAAUACAGCAUACGGAAGGAGGGGAUUGCGUCUGUUUAGCUAGUUGGCGGGGUAACGGACAACCAAGGCGAUGAGCGUUAUCCGGUCUGAGAGGAGGAACAGUCACAUUGGGACGUAGAUACGGCCCAGACUCCUACGGGGGGCAGCAGUGGGGAAUCUUCCGGAAUGGACGAAAGUCUUACGGAGCAACGCCGCGUGAAUGAUGACGGCCGUCGGGUUGUAAAGCUCUGUUAAGCGGGACGCGGUACCGGAAUAGAAAGCCACGGCUAACUACGUGCCAGCAGCCGCGGUAAUUC
rnacentral:rRNA from 1 species